UGGAGCCGGUGCUGGUGAACAUGGCGCCGGCCCGGCCCAGCCGCGGCGGGCGCCGCUGGCGGAACCGCCCCCUCCUUUCCCCCCUAGAGGCCGGGCAGACCCUGAGAAACCGCGGCGGGCCGGGCACGGCGCGGUUACAGAGGACUGUAAAAAAGAAGGCUGUGCACCAUAUGUACCCUACAGAGGAGACUUCUGUGGCAGCGCAGUUUGUUGACAGCAGCUUGCAUGAGAACGGGAGGAAGGGCAGAAGGCAGAGAUUAACUGGGCUGAAAUCAGAAUGAUUGGUCCUGUGCCUUUCCAAAAUCAGAGAAUUUCUCUCAAUCCCUCGGAAGUGAAUACAGCUUUGUACUGCAGCAGACCUGUUGUCCUCUAAACUGUGGAAUUGUGGAGAGAAGGAAAGCUGAGGUGGGUGAAGAGAUGGAUGCUGGCCGGAGCCGUCUUGCAGCCACAGGUGAUAAAAAGAAACUGAGGGGAAUCCAGGCAUCUCCGCUCUGAUCACAAGAACAUGCUGGGAAUGAGUCGAUGGAAAAAAGACCGCUCUCCAGUGCAAGGUUACAAGUGGGAAUCAAACCUCUGUCUAGCUGGGGAUUUGACCUGGUGAUUCAGGAGGCCAAAGCACUUGCUCACCUAUUCCACAGUUGCCUUCAUUAAUGCUGCCUUUGUGAGAAGCUUGGCCUCACACGAGAGAGACACUACAGUGCUGUACAACUCAGCUGUUUCACCUCUUCAUGCAGCAUGAACACCCCCUGACCCAUGAAUGUGGUGCUCAGAAGGGGAUAUUUCUCCAUCCCAGCUCAAUAGCUCAGAUGGCUAUAUGGGAAUUUCUUCCUGUCUGUAAACCCCAUGACUAGGUUAUGUGCUGACUCUGUUUAUUUCCUUUCAUAUUUUGACCAUUCUUUGUGUACUCAAAAAUUAUGCAGGGGUAAAGGUUUAAUUCUUCUUUCACAUUCAUGUGAGUUCAGUUGUUCAGAUUCUUCUUUUUUUUUUUUUUAAAAUGAAUAUAUGGAUAUAUACAUGCAUGUAUUUUGCUCAUCACGACUGACAGCCCUGGAGCAUGGAAUUAUUAAUCUGGAGUACAUGUAUGAACAGGCUGGUAGCAGUGUGUGUUUCAAUACGUGUCUUUGCCAUUCUGCAUCAGCAUUGGAGAGGCUGCAAGAUGAAAAAGUAGCCCAGGUAUAUUACAGCAUCCUGUAAUUUUAUUAUGAGACUUACUGUAUUUUGUGGUCUUCUUUUAACCCCAGAGACUGAAAUCCAGAAAUUUCCUGAGAAUGUCUGCUUUGAAUUUUCCAAAGGAAAAGCUUUGAGAACUUGACAUUGCAAAGAUUUGAAAAUGGUGAUGCAAGUUUACCACAGAGAUUCAAAAGGAAGAUUCAAAAAGAAAAAUAAUAAAAGGCACGUUAUUAUCUGGGUAGGCUGACUCAUGUGUUUUGGGAAAAGCAAUCUGCAGUGUUGUGCAGGGUCACUUCUGCCAUACUUCACCUAUGCGAUUAAUCUCUUGUACCAACAAAAAACAACUAGAAAGCAUUACUACUCUUAUUUUGUAAUAUGCUUUGCUCACUGGUCCAGAGCAGCUAUGCAAAGGAUAGAGCAAUAAUCCUGUUGUGUUUACUUGAAUUUCUAGGGCAAAUCUACUGGUGACCUUAAAACACAGCUAGCCAACACAGCUUUUCUUUGGGGGGAUCAGAAGGGGUCAGAGGCAGCAGGUCAGAAAAGGAUUAAUUUUAAGAAAUGGACUGUGCCUGUAUACAUUCAAAAUAGUUGAAAGUAUACAGAAGCCUCAUGCUCAUGUUAUGUUCACAUCUUUAGGUAUUCUGGGGAGUCUCAUCUAGCCAUUGUCUCGGUGUGCAUGGCUGACAUCCCUGUUGCUAUUUAUCCCAUCUUCAACAGUGACAGAGAGGGAAGAAUUCUUCAGAAACAAUUAAGCAGUUCGGGUUGGAUAAAAUGUCAAAAGGAUGAGGUCUUUUUAUCAAACUCACCUACCCAGAUCAUAAAAUACUGCAUGACUGGAAUGGAGAGCAUAAUUGUUCAAUUACAAGGAAAAUGAAACAAUACAGCAAAUCUAACAAAAUUGGCCAAUAGUUUCCUCGACAUGUAAGCAAGAUUGCUUUCAACACAGCCAUUCUCUCUCCACCUGUCAAAAUGAAUUUCAGAGUAGAAAGCCUCAUAAGUUUCAUGGUUAUAAGAAAAUUUGAUGCAGAUCCUUACAGGGAUUAAGUCAAUCUAGCUCCAUCCGUUCAUUCCCUUCAAACAGAAUCAGGUUAUUGCAGUUGAGGAUCUGCCUCCUUUCUCCUCUGUGACUGAGCAUAGAUACAGCUUCCUCUUACCACUUUCUUUAGAAGCGUCUCACUUACAAAAUGUAUGAGUUUCUUUUAACUCUGUUGAAGUUCAUUUUGUUUAAGCGUGCGGUUCUCUUGCCUGAACAUGGUCUAUACAGCUAUAAUUUUUUUGGUGACUAAUUUGCCCUCAUAGUUGUGGGCGGUUAAACAGCUUUGCCAUAUUUGGUUGGCAGAGAAGUGCCUUUAAAUAUAUUGUAAUUGGGCUCGUGUCUUUUUUUUUUUUCCUUUUUCUUUUUUUUUUGUCUAGCCUUGUUAAAAGUUUAGUUAACGCCUUUCUUGGAGCUCACUUCAUGAACAUGCAAAUGAAAAACUUCUCUGAGUUGUUUUGUAAAGUGCAGUUAAUUAAUACAGUGGAGUAAAACUGAGUUAAGUAGGAGAAUCACAGCUCGUAAAUAAAGAUAAGAAAAUUAUAAGAGGUGUGACUGAUAUGUCUGUAAUUACCUGCUUGGGAG